CAUUACAGGACACUUGGGGGUAGCUGGCCUUUUAGGCAUGCCUCCUUACAUCCACAUACACCUGUGCACAAAGGGGUUACCCUUACACAUACUCUUUGUAUAUGCAUGUUUUGUUAUAUGUUAUUACAACUUUCAACAACGGAUCUCUUGGCUUUCGCAUCGAUGAAGAACGCCGCGAAAGUGCGAAACGUAAUGUGAAUUGCAGAAUUCAGUGAAUCAUCGAAUCUUUGAACGCAUCUUGCGCUCCUUGGUAUUCCGAGGAGCAUGCCUGUCUGAGUGUCGUGAAAUUCUCUCGAGAGUCUCUUUCUCUCGGAUGUGGACGUUGUUGGUAUUACUGACUCGUCUUGAAAUGUAUUAGCUGACCUUCUCGGUUUGGCAAACGGUGUGAUAAAUGGAAUACAUUGUUUGUCUAAUACCUAUAGAGGUUGCUUCUAACUCCUUCUUAUUAUUAUGACCUCAGAUCAGGUAGGACUACCCGCUGAACUUAAGCAUAUCAAUAAGCGGAGGAAAAGAAACUAACAAGGAUUCCCUUAGUAACUGCGAGUGAAGCGGGAAGAGCUCAAAUUUGUAAUCUGGCGGUCUCAGAUCGUCCGAGUUGUAGUCUAGAGAAGCGU
rnacentral:rRNA from 1 species